CAAUAGCGUAUAUUAAAGUUGUUGCAGUUAAAAAGCUCGUAGUUGAACUUCAGACCUGGCCGGGCGGUCUGCCUAACGGUAUGUACUGUCUGGCUGGGUCUUACCUCUUGGUGAGCCGGCAUGCCCUUCACUGGGUGUGUCGGGGAACCAGGACUUUUACCUUGAGAAAAUUAGAGUGUUCAAAGCAGGCCUAUGCCCGAAUACAUUAGCAUGGAAUAAUAAAAUAGGACGUGCGGUUCUAUUUUGUUGGUUUCUAGAGUCGCCGUAAUGAUUAAUAGGGAUAGUUGGGGGCAUUAGUAUUCAGUUGCUAGAGGUGAAAUUCUUGGAUUUACUGAAGACUAACUACUGCGAAAGCAUUUGCCAAGGAUGUUUNCAUUA
rnacentral:rRNA from 1 species